rnacentral:rRNA from 1 species
GAUGAACGCUGGCGGCGCGCCUAACACAUGCAAGUCGAACGAUUAAAGCACCUUCGGGUGUGUAUAAAGUGGCGAACGGCUGAGUAACACGUGGGCAACCUGCCCCUUUCAUUGGGAUAGCCACGGGAAACCGUGGAUAAUACCGAAUACUUCGAGACUUCCGCAUGGAAGACUCGAGAAAGCUCCGGCGGAGAGGGAUGGGCCCGCGGCCUGUUAGCUUGUUGGUGGGGUAACGGCCUACCAAGGCAAUGAUGGGUAGCUGGGUUGAGAGACCGACCAGCCAGAUUGGGACUGAGACACGGCCCAGACUCCUACGGGAGGCAGCAGUGGGGAAUCUUGCACAAUGGGCGAAAGCCUGAUGCAGCGACGCCGCGUGCGGGAAGAAGGCCUUCGGGUUGUAAACCGCUUUCAGCAGGGACGAGGCGAUAAGUGACGGUACCUGCAGAAGAAGCCCCGGCUAACUACGUGCCAGCAGCCGCGGUAAUACGUAGGGGGCAAGCGUUAUCCGGAUUCAUUGGGCGUAAAGCGCUCGUAGGCGGUCUGUUAGGUCGGGAGUUAAAUCCGGAGGCUCAACCUCCGCCCGCUCCCGAUACCGGCAGACUUGAGUUUGGUAGGGGAAGGUGGAAUUCCUAGUGUAGCGGUGGAAUGCGCAGAUAUUAGGAAGAACACCAGUGGCGAAGGCGGCCUUCUGGGCCAUAACUGACGCUGAGGAGCGAAAGCUAGGGGAGCAAACAGG